UGAGUAAGUCAGACGGUUGCAUGUGCAGUGUCGAAAGACCGUACAUGAGGAAAGUCCGGGCUCCAUAGGGCAGGGUGCCGGGUAACUCCCGGUGAAGGUGACUUUAAGGAAAGUGCAACAGAGAUAUACCGCCUUUUUGGAGGUUGGAAGUUGGAGGUUAGAAGUUGGAAGAUGCGUUUUUUCUAACGUCCAACCUCUAACUUCCAACUUUCAGGAGGGUAAGGGUGGAAAGGUGAGGUAAGAGCUCACCAGCGGCAUGGCGACUUGCCGGCUAUGUAAACCCCAUCUGGAGCAACACCGUAUAGUGGGACAUUAUGGUUGCCCGCCAGUCCCGGGUAGGUGGCUUGAGCUUUGCAGAAAUGCAAGGCCUAGAUAGAUGACUGUCAGAUACAGAACCCGGCUUAUAGAUUUGCUCAAAAA
rnacentral:RNase_P_RNA from 1 species